rnacentral:rRNA from 1 species
UAACACGUGGGCAACCUGCCUGUAAGACUGGGAUAACUCCGGGAAACCGGGGCUAAUACCGGAUAAUUCAUUCUCUCACAUGAGGGAAUGCUGAAAGACGGCUUACGCUGUCACUUACAGAUGGGCCCGCGGCGCAUUAGCUAGUUGGUGAGGUAACGGCUCACCAAGGCAACGAUGCGUAGCCGACCUGAGAGGGUGAUCGGCCACACUGGGACUGAGACACGGCCCAGACUCCUACGGGAGGCAGCAGUAGGGAAUCUUCCGCAAUGGACGAAAGUCUGACGGAGCAACGCCGCGUGAGCGAUGAAGGCCUUCGGGUCGUAAAGCUCUGUUGUUAGGGAAGAACAAGUAUCGGAGUAACUGCCGGUACCUUGACGGUACCUAACCAGAAAGCCACGGCUAACUACGUGCCAGCAGCCGCGGUAAUACGUAGGUGGCAAGCGUUGUCCGGAAUUAUUGGGCGUAAAGCGCGCGCAGGUGGUUUCUUAAGUCUGAUGUGAAAGCCCACGGCUCAACCGUGGAGGGUCAUUGGAAACUGGGGAACUUGAGUGCAGAAGAGGAAAGUGGAAUUCCACGUGUAGCGGUGAAAUGCGUAGAGAUGUGGAGGAACACCAGUGGCGAAGGCGACUUUCUGGUCUGUAACUGACACUGAGGCGCGAAAGCGUGGGGAGCGAACAGGAUUAGAUACCCUGGUAGUCCACGCCGUAAACGAUGAGUGCUAAGUGUUAGAGGGUUUCCGCCCUUUAGUGCUGCAGCAAACGCAUUAAGCACUCCGCCUGGGGAGUACGGCCGCAAGGCUG